UGAUAAGCUUUUUCGAUCGAAACAAUUGGCGCAUAAGUGGCUAAGGGAAAAUGAAUCCUCGGAUAUGGGACUAAAUUCGUUUGAAACUCAGUUAAAUCGACGUUCAAUGCCCCAUCAAAUCUCAAUGAAGCCAUAUCAUAGAUCGCUUCAUUAUCCACGAGGAAAGCACAAUCUGAAUGUUCUAAGGUUGUAUGUGUAGUUAAGAUGGCGUUAUAAGGUUCUACUACUGCAGUGGAAAUUUGCGGAGAAGGAUAAAUUGCAAAUUCAAGCUUGGCUUUUUUGCCAUAAUCCAUGGAAAGUCGUUCCAUUAAUAGACUGGUGAAUCCAGAACCUGUGCCACCUCCAAAUGCGUGGAAAAUAAGGAAACCUUGAAGACCGGUACACAUGUCGGCGAUCUUGCGAAUUCUGUCAAGGACUAGAUCGAUUAUUUCUUUUCCCAGAGUGUAAUGGCCUCGAGCAUAGUUGUUUGCCGCAUCUUCUUUACCAGAAAUUAGUUGUUCGGGAUGGAACAAUUGAUGAUAAGUUCCAGUUCAAGAUCCAAAAAUACCGCUCGUGGAACAUAUUUCCCACCACCAGUUUCGCUAAAGAAAGUUUGAAAACCCUCGUCGCUGGAACAACUUGUAGGUGGAAGCAUGCCAUCGGGUUGUAUGCCAUGUUCAAGACAAUACAAUUCCCAACAAGCAUUGCCCAUUUGGACGCCGCCUUGGCCAAUAUGAACUGACAGUACUUCACGCUAAAAAAUAAUUUUUUUCUUAAGUUUAUCUUAAUCUUAUUUCAUGUUUUUUCUUGAUCUUAUUAAAUAUUUAUUUUUUUGAUAUUAAAUCUACCACUCAUAUUAAUUCUAUUCUUCUUGAAUUAUUAAAUAUAAUUUUUGAAUGUUAUUAAUUGCUAUUAAUAAUAUAUUAUUUGUAUAAUUAUUAAUGUAUAAUAUAUGUAUAAUUUAUAAUUAUAUAAUUAUUAAUUAUUAAUAACAAUGUAAUAGCAAUUAAUUAUUAAUGUUUCGUAAUAAAUUGUUAAAAAUAUAAUUAAAUUGAUAAUAAAUAAAAUAAGAAAUGUAAAUCUUUUGUAUAAGUUAGGAGGAUUUUAAAAUCUUAAGUUUUUAUUUUAUAAAUUAUUAUUUGAAUUAUUAUUUUAGUUAUAUAUAAUAACAUUAAAUAAAUUAAUAAUUACCAUUGUGGCGAAUUAUUGAUUUUCGAUGGAAAAUAAGGUGAGACAAACGUUGACAGGAUGAACGUCCGAAUUCAAUUGAAUCAACGAUACAUUCUGUUAAAAAAUUUUGUUUUUGUUGCUAAGAAACGAUAGUUUCAUUAAAAAUUUAUAUAAUAUCUCUCAAUAAAUUAUUAGGGUGUCCCAUAAAUUUCCUUCUUUUUUCUGAUAUGAAAUGAAUACGCGAUAUUUGUUGUUUAAGAUUGAUUUUAUGAAUUAUAUAUGAUUAUAUAUGAA